UGCCAUGGAGAAAGAAAACCCGGGGAACGACGAAAAGAGUGAGCAGGUCGAAGAACAAGCUCAAUAUCAAAUAACUAAAGACAAAGAUGAUAAAGAUUUUGGUAAAGAAGCAUCAAACAUAAAAUUAAAAACUGAAGAUGGAGUUCAGCAGACUGAAACAGUGACAGGUAGCUAUGAUUCUUUUUAAACGCAUGUUUAACUUGUUGCUCAACUUGUUUUGAGUGGGGAUUUGAAUUGAAUUAAUUCUCAAACUGGGGUCGAUAGUUUUUGUAAAAUCGGGGUCUCGAUUUAGAGUCGCUUUGUUU